UCUCCCUUCUUUCUCUCCCUUCUCUCAUCAAGCGAUUUAUUAUUAUGAAAACUCAAUUUCACACUAUUCUCUCUUUUCCUUAGCACACAUCUCUCUUUCUUCUCUCUCUAUCUCCAUAAAUCAUCAAAGAAAAGGCAACGGCUCUGUCUUCAUCACUGCUCUUCAACAUAAUGCCCAUUGUAUCCACUUGAUCCAUCUGGCAGCUACUUGUUCUUGAAAUGCAGCCAUCCAUAGCUUCAUUAGGACCAAAACCCAUGUUAUAGUUUGGUCCAAAAUCAGAUCCAAGCAUUUGAAAAUGGUGGAAAGUACUCUGCAGCAACUCAUCAUUGUUGCUUCCGUGGAAUUGAAGUAUCUGAAAAAGUUCAGACAUGUCCAUGGAGCUUAAGGAUAAGCUAUCUGGAGAGACAAGACCUUCCAGCAUAUUGUUCUCUGCAGAAAUCUCGUAACUUCUAUAUAUGUAUAUGAUCUUUAAAGUCAGACCAAAAGUACAAAUAGAAUAGAAUAUGGUGGAACAAAAGCUCUGAAUAUAUUUUUUCUUUUUUUGGGUGGGUUAAAGCAAAAGAGGAUUUGCUAUAAAUGUAUGCAGUAGGAGAGAUUUAGGUUUAUGUAAUGUUGUUUGGGUAGGUUGCUUAGAAAAGAUGAAAGAGGUGGGAAAAACUAAUCCAUUGAUAUCAUUCUUCUUAGCUUUAAAUAGAAAUCAACAUUGAC